UCUCAAUGCUCAUUAGUCUGGAGGACAGCCCACAGUCUCAUCAAGACCCGCUGCUGUCCCUGGUGGCGGACGUGCUGGGCACGGCAGACUUUAGCGGCGAGCGAGCGCGCGCCGACAUCGCCGCCCUCAGGGAAAAGCCGGCCGUGCUCGAUCUGCUGCUGGACUUCAUGCUGGACUUGCUGCUGCUGCCUUACGGGGUGACGUGGCCACCGCCGGCCGCCGCCGCCGCCCCC